AUGCCUAGAUCCAGCGGUGUGAGAUUUCGAAUCGGUUCCCCAGCCACCAUGGAGGAACGGAGGGGGAGAUUCCGGAACUUAACCACCCUUCAUCAAGAGGGAAGGGAGGUGGGUGGCCUGGCGCAAUUGUUUUGGACUUUGGCAGUCGGGUUAGGUUACAAUGAUGCAGCACUAAAGGAUUGGUUUAAUAAUUGCCUGGAUGAUCCUUUACCUCAAUGGGAGAUGAAGGGGUUAGAGAUCCUGGACUUUUGGGGGUUUACCAAUUACCUGCACCAUCGUGCUCAGUGGGAUGCAACAACCACACCAGAGUUUCCAGACAAGGCUGCCAGCUCAGCUCCACAACCCAAGAUGGCCACCAGCCCAGCCCCACAGCCCAAGAUGGCCGCCAGCCUAGCGCCACAGCGCAAGAUGGCCGCCAGCCCAGCACCACAGCACAAGAUGGCCGACUCAACGCCACCGACUCUCCAUCGUAGAGGGCGGAGGAGGAGACAGGCAGCUACUGUUCCUCAGGACCCGGAGAACGUUCCCGAGCGGGCGGCUGCCGUCCAUGAGGCCAUUCCCGAUGCGGUGCCCGCUAAUGUUCCGGAGGCCGAGGCGGUGCCCGAUGCAGUCUCCGAGGCGGUGCCCGAUGCAGUCUCCGAGGCGGUGCCCGAUGCAGUUCCCGAGGCGGUGCCCGAUGCUGUUUCCGAGGCCGAGGCUGUUCCCGAGGCGGUGUCCGAUGCAGUUCCCGAGGCGGUGCCCGAUGCAGUUCCCGAGGCGGUGCCCGAUGCAGUUCCCGAGGCGGUGCCCGAUGCUGUUCCCGAGGCGGUGCUCGAUACUGUUCCCGAGGCGGUGCCCGAUGCUGUUCCCGAGGCGGUGCCCGAUGCUGUUCCCGAGGCGGUGCCCGAUGCUGUUUCCGAGGCCGAGGCUGUUCCCGAGAAGGUGCUCGAUGCUGUUCGAGAGGCCGAGGCAAUGCCCGAUGCUGUUCCCGAUGUGGUGCCCGCUGCGGUUCUGGAGGCCGAGGCGGUACCCGCUGCUGUUCCGGAGGCCGAGGCGGUGGCCGAGGCCGUUUCCGAUGCGGUUCCCGUUGCUGUUCUGGAGGCCGAGGCGGUGCCCGCUGCUGUUCCGGAGGCCGAGGCGGUGGUCGAAGCCGUUCCCGAUGCGGUCCCCGUUGCUGUUCCGGAGGCCGGGGCGGUGGCCGAGGUCGUUCCCGAUGCGGUGCCCGCUGCUGCUCCGGAGGCCGAGGCUGUUCCCGAGGCGGUGCCUGAUGCAGUUCCCGAGGCGGUGCCCGAUGCAGUUCCCGAGGCGGUGCCCGAUGCUGUUCCCGAGGCGGUGCCCGAUGCAGUUUCCGAGGCGGUGCCCGAGGCAGUUCCCGAGGCGGUGCCCGAGGCAGUUCCCGAGGCGGUGCCCGAUGCAGUUCCCGAGGCGGUGCCCGAGGCAGUUCCCGAGGCGGUGCCCGAUGCAGUUCCCGAGGCGGUGCCCGAUGCUGUUCCCGAGGCGGUGCUCGAUGCAGUUCCCGAGGCGGUGCCCGAUGCUGUUCCCGAGGCGGUGCCCGAUGCAGUUCCCGAGGCGGUGCCCGAUGCAGUUCCCGAGGCGGUGCCCGAUACAGUUCCCGAGGCGGUGCCCGAUGCUGUUCCCGAGGCGGUGCCCGAUGCUGUUCCCGAGGCGGUGCUCGAUGCUGUUCCCGAGGCGGUGCUCGAUGCUGUUCCCGAGGCGGUGCUCGAUGUUGUUCCCGAGGCGGUGCCCGAUGCAGUUCCCGAUGCGGUUCCCGAUGCAGUUCCCGAGGCGGUGCCCGAUGCAGUUCCCGAGGCGGUGCCCGAUGCAGUUCCCGAGGCGGUGCUCGAUGUUGUUCCCGAGGCGGUGCCCGAUGCAGUUCCCGAGGCGGUGCCCGAUGCAGUUCCCGAGGCGGUGCCCGAUGCAGUUCCCGAGGCGGUGCCCGAUGCAGUUCCCGAGGCGGUGCUCGAGGCUGUUCCCGAGGCGGUGCCCGAGGCUGUUCCCGAGGCGGUGCCCGAUGCGGUGCCCGAUGCAGUUCCCGAGGCGGUGCCCGAUGCUGUUCCCGAGGCGGUGCCCGAUACAGUUCCCGAGGCGGUGCCCGAGGCUGUUCCAGAGGCGGUGCCCGAUACAGUUCCCGAGGCGGUGACCACAAGGCCGUGGUGGUCUUCUACUCCGCCCUGGGGGACUCUGGCGGUGACCACGAGGACGUGGUGGUCGUCCGCUCCACCCUGGGGGACUCGGGCGGUGACCACGAGGACGUGGUGGUCGUCCGCUCCGCUCUGGGGGACUCCGGCGGUGACCAUGAGGACGUGGUGGUCUUCUGCUCCGCCCUGGUGGACUCCGGCCUCGACCACAAAGACGUGGUGUUCUUCCGCUCCGCCCUGGAGGGCUUUGACUUUGACCACAAGGCCGUGGUGGUCUUCCGCUCCGCCCUGGCGGACUCCGGCCUCGACCACAAAGAUGUGGUGGUCAUCUGCUCCGUCCUGGUGGACGCCUCAACAUGCCCUUCAUGGACUUAUGUUUUGUGUUUUUUGA
ensembl:lncRNA